rnacentral:lncRNA from 1 species
GUGAAUUAAAAUAAUAAGACUUGAAAAAUAAAAAUUAAUAAAUUGGUUUUGAGACAAAAUAUAUUAACAUGCAAAGAUAAAGUUGAUUCAAUUGACAAACGAAAACAAUGGAGGAAUGGAUGUUGUUGGGUACUAACAAUUUCAUCUAUUCCGCUCUCUCUUACAUACUAUCCUUGAAUAUUAGAUUGAUUCAAUUGUUAUGCGACUUUCUUAGCCUCCCCUUAACCCGAUCCCUCGACGAAAAGGGCCUAAUAUUAACUACUGGCUUGCUAUCCCUAGCCUCCCCUAGUCAUUAAUACCGCAUUAUAAACAGAAGUUAGCGCAAUUGAUCGUCCUACCCCUAUCC